GAUGAACGCUGGCGGCGUGCCUAACACAUGCAAGUCGAACGAACAGACGCGGAAGUUUCUCCUCUGACGUUUUCGGCGGACGGGGGAGUAACACGCGGAUUACCUACCUCUAACACUGGGGUACCAUCGUGAGACCGGAGCGAAUACCGCAUAAUCUAUCGAACCGCAUGGUCCAAUAUUGAUAGAAGGUUUUGCUUACAUUUAUAGUUGCAUCCGGGCGGCAUUAGCUGGUUGGUAAGGUAACUGCUUACCAAGGCAACGAUGGGUAGCCGACCUAAGAGAGGGAUCGGCAACACUGGAACUGAAACACGGCCCAGACUCUUACGGGAGGCAGCAGUGGGGAAUCUUCCGCAAGGGGGGAAAGCCGGACGUAGCAACGCGGGGUGAGGGAUGAAGCUCUUCGGUUCUUAAACCCCGGUUAUCAGGGAGGAACACAUGUGUAAGUAAAGAUGCACGUAUUGACGGUACCGGAUCAGAAAGCCACGGCUAACUACGUG
rnacentral:rRNA from 1 species